ACGUAGGGGACAAGCGUUGUCCGGAUUUACUGGGCGUAAAGGGCACGCAGGCGGUUUUUUAAGUCAGAUGUGAAAGGUACCGGCUCAACCGGUGACAUGCAUUUGAAACUGAAAGACUUGAGUAUUGGAGAGGCAAGUGGAAUUCCUAGUGUAGCGGUGAAAUGCGUAGAUAUUAGGAGGAACACCGGUGGCGAAGGCGGCUUGCUGGACAAAUACUGACGCUGAGGUGCGAAAGCGUGGGGAGCAAACAG
rnacentral:rRNA from 1 species